rnacentral:rRNA from 1 species
UACGUAGGGGGCAAGCGUUGUCCGGAAUUAUUGGGCGUAAAGAGCGCGUAGGCGGUCUGAUAAGUCGGUUGUGAAAGUCGGGGGCUCAACCCUCGGAUGCCGAUCGAUACUGUCAGGCUAGAGUCCGGAAGAGGCGAGUGGAAUUCCUGGUGUAGCGGUGAAAUGCGUAGAUAUUGGGAGGAACACCAGUGGCGAAGGCGGCUCACUGGACCGGAACUGACGCUGAGGCGCGAAAGCGUGGGGAGCAAACAGG